rnacentral:rRNA from 1 species
GAUGAACGCUGGCGGCGUGCCUAAUACAUGCAAGUCGAGCGAACGGACGAGAAGCUUGCUUCUCUGAUGUUAGCGGCGGACGGGUGAGUAACACGUGGAUAACCUACCUAUAAGACUGGGAUAACUUCGGGAAACCGGAGCUAAUACCGGAUAAUAUUUUGAACCGCAUGGUUCAAAAGUGAAAGACGGCCUUGCUGUCACUUAUAGAUGGAUCCGCGCUGCAUUAGCUAGUUGGUAAGGUAACGGCUUACCAAGGCAACGAUGCAUAGCCGACCUGAGAGGGUGAUCGGCCACACUGGAACUGAGACACGGUCCAGACUCCUACGGGAGGCAGCAGUAGGGAAUCUUCCGCAAUGGGCGAAAGCCUGACGGAGCAACGCCGCGUGAGUGAUGAAGGUCUUCGGAUCGUAAAACUCUGUUAUUAGGGAAGAACAUAUGUGUAAGUAACUGUGCACAUCUUGACGGUACCUAAUCAGAAAGCCACGGCUAACUACGUGCCAGCAGCCGCGGUAAUACGUAGGUGGCAAGCGUUAUCCGGAAUUAUUGGGCGUAAAGCGCGCGUAGGCGGUUUUUUAAGUCUGAUGUGAAAGCCCACGGCUCAACCGUGGAGGGUCAUUGGAAACUGGAAAACUUGAGUGCAGAAGAGGAAAGUGGAAUUCCAUGUGUAGCGGUGAAAUGCGCAGAGAUAUGGAGGAACACCAGUGGCGAAGGCGACUUUCUGGUCUGUAACUGACGCUGAUGUGCGAAAGCGUGGGGAUCAAACAGGAUUAGAUACCCUGGUAGUCCACGCCGUAAACGAUGAGUGCUAAGUGUUAGGGGGUUUCCGCCCCUUAGUGCUGCAGCUAACGCAUUAAGCACUCCGCCUGGGGAGUACGACCGCAAGGUUGAAACUCAAAGGAAUUGACGGGGACCCGCACAAGCGGUGGAGCAUGUGGUUUAAUUCGAAGCAACGCGAAGAGCCUUACCAAAUCUUGACAUCCUUUGACAACUCUAGAGAUAGAGCCUUCCCCUUCGGGGGACAAAGUGACAGGUGGUGCAUGGUUGUCGUCAGCUCGUGUCGUGAGAUGUUGGGUUAAGUCCCGCAACGAGCGCAACCCUUAAGCUUAGUUGCCAUCAUUAAGUUGGGCACUCUAAGUUGACUGCCGGUGACAAACCGGAGGAAGGUGGGGAUGACGUCAAAUCAUCAUGCCCCUUAUGAUUUGGGCUACACACGUGCUACAAUGGACAAUACAAAGGGCAGCGAAACCGCGAGGUCAAGCAAAUCCCAUAAAGUUGUUCUCAGUUCGGAUUGUAGUCUGCAACUCGACUACAUGAAGCUGGAAUCGCUAGUAAUCGUAGAUCAGCAUGCUACGGUGAAUACGUUCCCGGGUCU